rnacentral:rRNA from 1 species
CAGCCGCCACGGGAAUACGAAGGGUGCGAGCGUUACUCGGAAUUACUGGGCGUAAAGCGUGCGUAGGUGGUGGUUUAAGUCCGUUGUGAAAGCCCUGGGCUCAACCUGGGAAUUGCAGUGGAUACUGGGUCACUAGAGUGUGGUAGAGGAUAGUGGAAUUUCCGGUGUAGCAGUGAAAUGCGUAGAGAUCGGAAGGAACAUCUGUGGCGAAGGCGACUAUCUGGGCCAACACUGACACUGAGGCACGAAAGCGUGGGGAGCAAACAGGAUUAGAUACCCCCGUAGUCCCUGUCUCUUAUAU